AACUUUUAGCAACGGAUCUCUUGGCUCUCGCAUCGAUGAAGAACGCAGCGAAAUGCGACAAGUAAUGUGAAUUGCAGAAUUCAGUGAAUCAUCGAAUCUUUGAACGUUCCUUGCGCCCUUUGGCUAUUCUGAAGGGCAUGCCUGUUUGAGCAUCAUAAACAUCUCAACUCUCACGGUUUCCUGUGAUGAGAUUGGACUUUGGGGGUCUUGUUGGCUUGUGUUCAGCUCCCCUCAAAUCUAUCAGCUUCAAAGUGUUUCACAGAAUCAGAGGAGUGAUAUAUAUCUACGCUACUUGUUCUUUGCCAGGUCUUUCCACUGAUUGCAGAGUGCGCACUGGAGAUCCAAAAUGCUACUCCUUCGUGCUGACAGCUGUUUAAAGUUUGAGCACAAAUCAGGUAGGAAUACCCGCUGAUCUUAAGCACACCAAUAGGCUGAGCCU
rnacentral:misc_RNA from 1 species